AGCUCCAAUAGCGUAUAUUAAAGUUGUUGCGGUUAAAAGCUCGUAGUUGGAUUUCUGGUGGAGACAACCGGUCCGGCUUAAGGCCGUGUAUCUGGUCUGGCUCCGUCAUCCGGAAGUUUAAGGUGCGUCGCUUCACUGCGAUGUCCGUAAGCUUCCCUUUUACUUUGAGGAAAUUAGAGUGUUCACAGCAGGCAAUCGCCGUGAAUACGUUAGCAUGGAAUAAUCAUAUAGGACUUCGGCCCUAUUUUGUUGGUUUCUAGAGCUGAAGUAAUGAUUAAUAGGAACAAUUGGGGGCAUUCGUAUUAUGGCGUCAGAGGUGGAAUUCUUGGAUUGCCGUACGACGAACUACUGCGAAAGCAUUUGCCAAGGAUGUUUUCA
rnacentral:rRNA from 1 species